AAGUCGUAACAAGGUCUCCGUUGGUGAACCAGCGGAGGGAUCAUUACCGAGUUUACAACUCCCAAACCCAAUGUGAACGUUACCAAACUGUUGCCUCGGCGGGAUUCUCAAGCCCCGGGUGCGUCGCAGCCCCGGACCAAGGCGCCCGCCGGAGGACCAACCAAAACUCUUUUUGUAUACCCCCUCGCGGGUUUUUUAUAAUCUGAGCCUUCUCGGCGCCUCUCGUAGGCGUUUCGAAAAUGAAUCAAAACUUUCAACAACGGAUCUCUUGGUUCUG
rnacentral:misc_RNA from 1 species